CAAUGGGUAAUGAUGGUUUAAUAUACAGCUUACAUCAAAUUAGUUUUUUUUCACUUCUCUCUUUGGGAACUUGUAUGGGGCUGAAAGUUUUCAAAAGUUUUGAAGAAGACAUCUAAGUUUUUACUGAUGGGAUUGGAUUGUCAUAAAAAUUGCCCUUCUUGUGUGUUCUUCGUAGACCACAUUCAUGAGGAUGCCUCAAGAGUCUGUUUCUCUAUACAAAUGCCUUGAAGCCUUCUUAAAGGAGGAGCCUUUAGGACCAGAAGACAUGUGGUACUGCCCUAGCUGCAAGAAGCUUAGGCAAGCCUUCAAAAAGCUAGAUCUCUGGCGAUUGCUUGAGAUUCUUUUGUUCAUUUGAAGAGGUUCUCAUACGACCGAUAUUUUAAGAAUAAGCUAUAAACGUUUUGUUGAUUUCCCAGUUGAUGAACUUGAUUUCUCAACCUACAUUACCCACAGGAAUAGCCAGUUGUCUAAUUGCUACAUGCUGUAUGCAAUUAGUAAUCACUAUGGAGGUUUGGGUGGCGGUCACUAUACAACAUCUGUUCAUGAGCAAUGAUGGAAGAUGUUGCACUAAUGAGAGGAGACAAACUGAUAUUGAGAGGGUUGAAGUUCCAUGAAUAUCAUGGGGUGAAGCCAGAAGAAAGGAGGCUGAGUCAGAAGUUCUUAGUGGACGUUGAUUCCUGACUAUUGUGAUAGGCCAGGAUUAAAAGCUGUGUUUGUUCCAUGCAUGCUGGCAUUUUUCGAACACUUGGUAGGCU